rnacentral:rRNA from 1 species
AUUGAACGCUGGCGGCAGGCCUAACACAUGCAAGUCGAACGAGUGGCGGACGGGUGAGUAAUGUCUGGGAAACUGCCUGAUGGAGGGGGAUAACUAUUGGAAACGGUAGCUAAUACCGCAUACCAUCAGAUGUGCCCAGAUGUGUUUCGCUUGUGGGUGGGGUAACGGCUCACCAAGGCGACGAUCCCUAGCUGGUCGGAGAGGAUGACCUGCCACACUAGAACUGAGACACGGUCCAGACUCCUGCGGAAGUCAGGGGUGGGGAAUAUUGCACAUGUGGCGCAAGCCAGAUGCAGCCAUGCCGAGUGUAUGAAGAAGGCCUUCGGGUUGUAAAGUACUUUCAGCGGGGAGGCGUUACCCGCAGAAGAAGCACCGGCUAACUCCGUGCCAGCAGCCGCGGUAAUUC